rnacentral:rRNA from 1 species
AUUGAACGCUGGCGGCAUGCCUUACACAUGCAAGUCGAACGGCAGCACGGGAGCAAUCCUGGUGGCGAGUGGCGAACGGGUGAGUAAUAUAUCGGAACGUGCCCAGUCGUGGGGGAUACCGCAGCGAAAGCUGUGCUAAUACCGCAUACGAUCUACGGAUGAAAGCGGGGGAUCGCAAGACCUCGCGCGAUUGGAGCGGCCGAUAUCAGAUUAGCUAGUUGGUGAGGUAAAGGCUCACCAAGGCGACGAUCUGUAGCUGGUCUGAGAGGACGACCAGCCACACUGGAACUGAGACACGGUCCAGACUCCUACGGGAGGCAGCAGUGGGGAAUUUUGGACAAUGGGCGCAAGCCUGAUCCAGCAAUGCCGCGUGCAGGAUGAAGGCCUUCGGGUUGUAAACUGCUUUUGUACGGAACGAAACGGUGAGCUCUAAUACAGUUUGCUAAUGACGGUACCGUAAGAAUAAGCACCGGCUAACUACGUGCCAGCAGCCGCCGUAAAAC